rnacentral:piRNA from 1 species
UGGGAGGUGUAGGCAGGGCUUGAAUGC